rnacentral:rRNA from 1 species
UACGGAGGAUGCGAGCGUUAUCCGGAUUUAUUGGGUUUAAAGGGUGCGUAGGCGGAUCGUUAAGUCAGUGGUCAAAUUGAGGGGCUCAACCCCUUCCCGCCAUUGAAACUGGCGAUCUUGAGUGGAAGAGAGGUAUGCGGAAUGCGUGGUGUAGCGGUGAAAUGCAUAGAUAUCACGCAGAACCCCGAUUGCGAAGGCAGCAUGCCGGCUUCCGACUGACGCUGAAGCACGAAAGCGUGGGGAUCGAACAGG